CCUGGACAUGGUGGCGCGUGCCUGCAGUUCCAGCUACUCGGGAGGCUGAGGCAGGAGGAUCACUUGACCCAGGAGUGAGGGGCUGCAGUGCACCGCGCUCUGUUGGUCGGGUGCCCGCACUUGCGGCAUCAAUGUGGUGACCUCCCUGAAGCAGGGGACCACUGGGUUGCCUCGGGGGGAUGAACAGCCUCGGGCUGGAAGUGGAGCAGGACAGAAUGCCCACGCUGGUCAGUCAUGGGAUGAGCCUGGGAAAAGCCACCGCACUCCCGCCAGGGCAGCACAGCAAGGCCCUGUCUCU
rnacentral:SRP_RNA from 1 species